rnacentral:rRNA from 1 species
GUGAAAAGGAAAUAGUUCAGCGCUGAAUCCCUUAGCCCCUGGUUAAGGGACCUGUGGCGUGAAGGAGAGCCUAUCUGUCUGGUUGUUGGCUUCGGAAUCUCCCUCGAAUGGGAACCCAAAGCAGGUGCGAGGCCUGUAACGAGGUGAUACCGGACAGUUUGAGCCUCCAUAGAGUCGGGUUACUUGAGAGUGUAGCCCAAAGCGGAAGGUAAACCCCUUCUAAAGCUAAAUAUUACCACGAGACCGAUAGCGAACAAGUACCGCGAGGGAAAGUUGAAAAGAACUUUGAAGAGAGAGUUCAAAAGGGCGUGAAACCGYUUARAAGAAAACGGACGGAGCCGUCAGGGGCCUUCGGGAAUCAGUCUUACGAUACGUGAAGGUAUCAUGGUCCAGAACGCGAGUCUGGCCGUGGUAUAGUAAAAAGUAGCGUUCGUUAGGCGCAUUUCUCGAGGGUAAGCACUGCGACCGAUACGAAAGGCCAAUGAAGCGUUUGGAUUGAGGGCGAGACCUCUCACGGGGACUCGUAACCAGUCUUUACGUCCUAGUCAUUGGACCGCAGUAUGUAUCGAGAGCCAAAGUAUGAAUAUACGUCGGCGUAAACGCUCGCUCGUAUAAUGGAUAGUUGGUCAAUGGUAUUGGUAUUUGCUCGCAGAUACCAGUCUAUUCGAUUCGGCUUUGAAGUUAUCGGCGACUCGAUGUAUAGGCGUCAGCAGUGUCAGUGUCGGUCAACCGUCCGACCCGUCUUGAAACACGGACCAAGGAGUCUAACAUAUGCGCGAGCUAAUGGGUGGAAAACCCAUAAGCGAAAUAAAAGUAAAGGCUGUUUCGGACAGCUAAGGUACGAUCCUAGUAUCCGAGCGAUAUUAGGCGCAGUACCGUCCCGUCCCGACCGUACAUCGGUAGGGCGGAGAUAGAGUGCAUACGUUGGGACCCGAAAGAUGGUGAACUAUGCCUGAGCAGAGCGAAGCCAGAGGAAACUCUGGUGGAGGUUCGUAGCGGUUCUGACGUGCAAAUCGAUCGUCAGACUUGGGUAUAGGGGCGAAAGACUAAUCGAACCAUCUAGUAGCUGGUUCCCCCUGAAGUUUCCCUCAGGAUAGCUGAUACUCGUUAAGAACGAAGUUUUAUCCGGUAAAGCGAAUGAUUAGAGGCAUUGGGGACGAAAUGUUCUCAACCUAUUCUCAAACUUUAAAUGGGUAAGAAGUCGAGCUUGCUCGAUCGAAGCCCGACAUAAGAAUUCGAGUAUCAAGUGGGCCAUUUUUGGUAAGCAGAACUGGCGCUGCGGGAUGAACCGAACGGCGAGAUAAGGCGCCCGAAUAAACGCUCAUAAGAGCCCAGGAAAGGUGUUAGUUGAUAUAGACAGCAGGACGGUGGCCAUGGAAGUUGGAACCCGCUAAGGAGUGUGUAACAACUCACCUGCCGAAUCAACUAGCCCUGAAAAUGGAUGGCGCUCGAGCGUUUUGCCCAUACUCGCCCGCUGGCGACAGAUUAAGCGUUUAGAGCGAAACGCCUAGUCGCAGCGAGUAAGGGGGUCGUGAUGGUAAGCGUCGAAGUUAGUCCGCGGGGACUAAUGGAGCUGCCAUCAGUGCAGAUCUUGGUGGUAGUAGCAAAUAUUCAAGUGAGAACCUUGAAGACUGAAGUGGAGAAGGGUUCCAUGUGAACAGCAGUUGCACAU